GGACGGCCGGCCGCGGGUAGCUUGGCCAUUCCUCGCUUGGCACAUCGCUUGAAAACCGGUGAUCAUCCUGCAGUGUACGCUGCCAGCCUGCUUUCUUGCCAGAGGUAACAAACAGCAGUGCCACGACAAACAGUGGAGUGCUGACCAUGCAGUCCAGAAGGUGGCUGAGGCAAGUAUGCCAUAGGAGGUGCUAAUUCAGGCAGAAGAAAUAAGCAUCUGUAGCCAACGUAAAGGAAGCAUCUUCAAAAGGCAGUGCUACAAAGAUGUGAGCAGCAGUUUCCCUUCAACAAACGGGUAGAAUGCAUGGAAGCCACGUUCCUGCUGAUUCUGGCCUACACAAACAUGCAGCCACCAUAGUAAAGUUCUU